GCUGGCUACCAAGGCAGCUAGAAAAUCAGCCCCAGCCACCGGCGGUGUCAAGAAGCCCCAUCGUUACAGGCCCGGUACUGUGGCUCUCCGAGAGAUCCGUCGUUACCAGAAGAGCACGGAGCUUCUCAUCCGCAARCUACCCUUUCAGCGCUUGGUCAGAGAGAUUGCACAAGACUUUAAGACAGAUCUGCGCUUCCAGAGUUCAGCUGUCAUGGCCCUACAGGAGGCUAGCGAGGCAUAUCUCGUKGGACUUUUUGAAGACACAAA
rnacentral:rRNA from 1 species